UAUCUCGAGAUAUCGGUACCUC
rnacentral:miRNA from 1 species